GGGUUAGUCGGUUCCUAAGGCGAGGCUGAAAAGCGUAGUCGAUGGGAAACAGGUUAAUAUUCCUGUACUUCUGGUUACUGCGAUGGAGGGACGGAGAAGGCUAGGCCAGCUUGGCGUUGGUUGUCCAAGUUUAAGGUGGUAGGCUGAAAUCUUAGGUAAAUCCGGGGUUUCAAGGCCGAGAGCUGAUGACGAGUCGUCUUUUAGAUGACGAAGUGGUUGAUGCCAUGCUUCCAAGAAAAGCUUCUAAGCUUCAGGUAACCAGGAACCGUACCCCAAACCGACACAGGUGGUCGGGUAGAGAAUACCAAGGCGCUUGAGAGAACUCGGGUGAAGGAACUAGGCAAAAUGGCACCGUAACUUCGGGAGAAGGUGCGCCGGCUAGGGUGAAGGAUUUACUCCGUAAGCUCUGGCUGGUCGAAGAUACCAGGCCGCUGCGACUGUUUAUUAAAAACACAGCACUCUGCAAACACGAAAGUGGACGUAUAGGGUGUGACGCCUGCCCGGUGCCGGAAGGUUAAUUGAUGGGGUUAGCGCAAGCGAAGCUCUUGAUCGAAGCCCCGGUAAACGGCGGCCGUAACUAUAACGGUCCUAAGGUAGCGAAAUUCCUUGUCGGGUAAGUUCCGACCUGCACGAAUGGCGUAACGAUGGCGGCGCUGUCUCCACCCGAGACUCAGUGAAAUUGAAAUCGCUGUGAAGAUGCAGUGUAUCCGCGGCUAGACGGAAAGACCCCGUGAACCUUUACUGUAGCUUUGCACUGGACUUUGAGCCUGCUUGUGUAGGAUAGGUGGGAGGCUUUGAAGCGUGGACGCCAGUUCGCGUGGAGCCAUCCUUGAAAUACCACCCUGGCAUGCUUGAGGUUCUAACUCUGGUCCGUGAUCCGGAUCGAGGACAGUGUAUGGUGGGCAGUUUGACUGGGGCGGUCUCCUCCUAAAGAGUAACGGAGGAGUACGAAGGUGCGCUCAGACCGGUCGGAAAUCGGUCGCAGAGUAUAAAGGCAAAAGCGCGCUUGACUGCGAGACAGACACGUCGAGCAGGUACGAAAGUAGGUCUUAGUGAUCCGGUGGUUCUGUAUGGAAGGGCCAUCGCUCAACGGAUAAAAGGUACUCCGGGGAUAACAGGCUGAUACCGCCCAAGAGUUCAUAUCGACGGCGGUGUUUGGCACCUCGAUGUCGGCUCAUCACAUCCUGGGGCUGAAGCCGGUCCCAAGGGUAUGGCUGUUCGCCAUUUAAAGUGGUACGCGAGCUGGGUUUAGAACGUCGUGAGACAGUUCGGUCCCUAUCUGCCGUGGACGUUUGAGAUUUGAGAGGGGCUGCUCCUAGUACGAGAGGACCGGAGUGGACGAACCUCUGGUGUUCCGGUUGUCACGCCAGUGGCAUUGCCGGGUAGCUAUGUUCGGAAAAGAUAACCGCUGAAAGCAUCUAAGCGGGAAACUUGCCUCAAGAUGAGAUCUCACUGGGAACUUGAUUCCCCUGAAGGGCCGUCGAAGACUACGACGUUGAUAGGCUGGGUGUGUAAGCGUUGU
rnacentral:rRNA from 1 species